rnacentral:misc_RNA from 1 species
UAGACCAAAAUAAAAUCUUUAAAAACUUGAUUAAAUGCCGAAUGGGUACAUUCAAUAGUUCUCAAUGAAAAAUCCUCAAUGACUCAACGAUUUCUAGAUCACAUCUGGAGCGGAUACAAAUGCGGAUCGAUCAUGUUCUAGACCACAUUCCGGGGGCGGAUACAAUCACAAAUCAUUUAGGAACACAGCACACAGAAGAAAGAAACAAGCCGCUGAUCACUAGAUCCUCCUACAAGAAACCAAGGAAAAGUCUAAGCCCUGGAACAUGCUCUGGGACACGUCAUCAAGGUAUCUUUCUGUCAGCAAGGUAUUUUUGCCUUCACCAAGUGCACUCCAUGCCAGAGAUUCUUUAAAUAUCUCCAAGUGAAUAUCAAGCGAAAGCCAAGGCAAGUACUUUAGUAGCAGAUGAUAAUUAAGGCUGAUCAAUUACUUUCAGCGAUUCGAAAGCACUCGGAGACUGACCUCUAGCAAAUGGCACCAAGCAUUAGCCACAUGUUUCGUUUUCAAGAUCGUGCUUCGUUCUAGAAGACCUGACCAGAUGAUAGAUGUAUAUCGUAUAAUAAAUACUUGGGGAUACACUUGCAGCACAGCUGGCAGCGGUUGUCUGUCUGCAAUCUGUGUCUGGGAAUUAAAAAAAAAAAACACCAGAGAGAGAGAGCUGGUGAAGGGCAAUCGCCGGACUCCGAACUCCCCGACAAUUGUAUGCAAAUGAACGCGUGCCGUGCCUUCACUUGUCUCUAAAAAGUUUCUUCGCCUUUUCAUCGUACAAUAUGCAAUAGAAUUCUUUAUUGUAAUUUAUUUUUUGUUGUUGUGUGUUUGCUGUGUGUAUUUUUUGUUUAUACAUAUAAAUUUAUGUACUCGCAUUUUACUGUGCCACACAAUGCAUCACGUACGGCAUAUAAUAUAUAAUAUAUAUAUAUAUAUAUAUAUAUAAUGUAUGUAUAUA